ACGAACGCUGGCGGCGUGCUUAACACCUGCAAGUCGAACGGAAAGGCCCUGCUUUUGUGGGGUGCUCGAGUGGCGAACGGGUGAGUAACACGUGAGUAACCUGCCCUUGACUUUGGGAUAACUUCAGGAAACUGGGGCUAAUACCGGAUAGGAGCUCCUGCUGCAUGGUGGGGGUUGGAAAGUUUCGGCGGUUGGGGAUGGACUCGCGGCUUAUCAGCUUGUUGGUGGGGUAGUGGCUUACCAAGGCUUUGACGGGUAGCCGGCCUGAGAGGGUGACCGGCCACAUUGGGACUGAGAUACGGCCCAGACUCCUACGGGAGGCAGCGGUGGGGAAUAUUGCACAAUGGGCGGAAGCCUGAUGCAGCAACGCCGCGUGCGGGAUGACGGCCUUCGGGUUGUAAACCGCUUUCGCCUGUGACGAAGCGUGAGUGACGGUAAUGGGUAAAGAAGCACCGGCUAACUACGUG
rnacentral:rRNA from 1 species